GCGAAUUUCAGGUGGGAUCAGUCCUUCUAGUUUAUUGUUUUCUAAUUUGAGGGAAUUGAGAAAAGAGAAAUUUGAAAUGUCACUUGGGAUCGCGCCUGAGAAUAGGUUGCUCGAGAGAUCAACGAUUACAGCAUAUACGAUUAGUUUUGAUAUAUCGGAAGGGAUGGUUCCAUAUAGCUCGUUGUUUGAAAGAUUCAGAGAAGUUAAAGAAGUGCAAUUUUGUAUGCCUCGCGGAAACUCACCUAUUAGUCCCAUGUCUGGAAGACUAAUGGAUAUUACUCUGGUCUCAUCGGCAUUCCAGCAUUCUAUUCCUGUAAAUUUGCAUAUAAAACCUUCUGUCUGAUUGUCGAACUUCCAUGUAGAAUUCAAGAUGUUUAAAGGGUCUACCAACGAAUCUUAUAUCGAUUUCAAGCAAUCGAUAUCACUCUGCACCGGGUUGCAUCUUAGAGAAAAGCUGCAAAAUAGUAGGAAAAAUGGUAGUACUAAGUAAAGAAUGUUGCAGUUGCACAUUGUUGAAAUGAAUUUUUUUGUUUAUUUGCUUUGGCAAUUGUGGUGUAAAAUACUAAUUGAUUUUUUGCAAAAAUGGACACCAGUUGACUUGGGUCAAUAAGACGGUAGAAUAAUUCCACCACAUUUUUUUUGAACAUCUUGGACUCCGCAACUUGGGCCAAGUCAAUAGGAUAUGUUGUACUUGUCUAUAUUAUCUCUCUGGGUGCGGUCCUUUUCUGGAUCCAUGACGCCUUACUCUGUUGGAUUUACAGUAUCUAGUGAAGAUGAUGCGAUUCAAACAAAGACAAAGUUCUCGUUGUGUACACAAGAUUCAUCUCUUGGGCCUAAAUUGUUUGGGCCUAAGUCAGUAGGCUUAUGCACUAAGAAUGGUCCUAGUAAUGGCACAUCUAGCCCAAGCAGAAAUACAGCAGAUACACAAGAGAUUUCAGAUUUAGUUACAUAGCAUUGUAUAGGAAUAUUUACAGCUGUAUAGUUUGUUAUUUAUUGUCAGGGUAGUAUCAAAGGAUUAGGUGACAGCUGUAGGUACUAGUCUGUCCUUUUUUUCUUUACACGACUUGUAUAAAUACAUAUAUGCAUCAAUAAGAAUAUUCAUUGGAAAAUUCCCAAAUCAACUCUCAUUUCUUCAGUCUUUCUACAUACUCUAAGGGUAGGUCCGCCUCUACUUUUCAAACUUUUCUAUUCAUUUGAAGAUUCAAAAGUUAUUAAUUAUCGUAUUAUUAAUAGAAAAUCGUUGAAGAAAAUUCAUAAACUUCAAAAAAAAAAAAAAAAUCCUACCCUUGGCUAAUUUUUCCACCCACCCCAUAGAUACUUUAUUCUCAAAGAAAAUCCCUACUAAGAGAAGACAAUCAUAAGAAUAAGAUUAGCUAUUACUAUAUAAUUAACUUGUUUAGCAUUUUAAUUCAAAGAAAAGAAGAAUAAUGAAACAUAUUUAAUAUUUUGUACUCAAAUUAAUUAAUCACCUGCAUCUAAGUCAAAGGAAAAAGUAUUUUUUGUGAAAAAUAUUCAACUUUUAGUAGUGUACGUUGACUAUUAGUUUCAGUUACCUUUGAAUUUGAAUGAUAAUUAAGAUAUUGUCUCUAGAUCUAACUAUUAAAUGAUUAAGACUCUUUGUUUUUCAUCAUCUAAAUGUGAAUAAUAUAUAAUUCAAAUAAAAAUAAUAUUGGCUGUCACUUUUUUCCAGUCAUCAACAACUAUUUUGAUUAGUCUCCAAAAGUAUUUACUACUUUUUUGUGAAGUCAUCAACAACUAUUUUGACUAGACGAUAUACCAUAAAUUCAAUGUGGUCCAAUUUUGUUAGAAUUAUGCAAAUGAGUUGUACGCCCCGUAGAUCCAUUGGACUUAAGUGAGUAUCUACAAAAUUUCUUAUAUCUAGUGUGUUAUUUCUGUAUUUUCAUCAAUCAUAAAUAAAGCUAAACUCUGUGUGUAGUAGUAUAUAAAAUGGCAAUUGCCCUGUCCAACAUGUUGUUAGCAACACUAAAUAUGUCGAGUCGAUCUAACGAGUACAUUUCAGGUGAGAUUGGACCUUCUAGUUUAUUGUUAUCUAAUUAUCAAUUUGCAAUGUCAUUUGGAAUCGCGCCUGAGAAUUCAUUUGCUCGAGAUAUCCAAAAAAUUAUAGCAAAUCCAAUUAGUUUUGAUAUAUCGGAAGGGAUAGAUGUUCCAUAUAGCUCGUUGUUUGGAAGAUCUAGAGAAGUUAAGGAAGAGCAACCUUGAACGCCUCGUGGAACUCAACUAUUAAUCCCAUACCAGGAAAUCUAAGUGUAGGUUUGGAACAUUGGAAAGACUUUUCAUAUUUCUUAAACUUCGUGUUCAGUCAAACUACAUCACAUAAAUUGUGAGUACUGCACAUUGUAAAAGUGAAAGUUUUUUGUUCCUAAUGUUCUUAUGCAAAUUGUUUCCUAGAAAUUUAAGAAGAUUACAACAAAAAUGAAUUUCUUCACCAAGCAAGUGUCGUUGGUAUUAUUCAAACAAGACACACAGUUGUAUAUUCGUCCAUAGAUUAAAUUCGAUAUGUCUAUCCGAAAGGUGAAAAGUAUCUGAAAAGAACUCGCCUUGCUUCAUUUUCCCCUUCUUUAGCAAUGAUAUUUUUGUUAUCGCAAGUCAAGAUUCACAUAAAAGGAUGGGACAUAAAACGAAGCAUUUGUGAUAAUGAUGAUCAUUCUGAAGCAUAGUUAUUGCAAUAUUGAAAACAACAAUUCAGGAAGACAUACAUUCUUGCUAAACAAAGAAACCAUAGGAAACACGGUUCCAAAAGCUGGUGAUUCUAGUAUGAGGCGGAGCCAGAAUUUGUAGCACAUGAGUCUAGAUGGAUUAUUUAUACAUAUGAAAUGGUUCUUCAUCACAAAUACAUGGUUUGAGCCAAAGCUACACGUCCCUUUGGUGGCUCCGCCCCUGCUUCUAGUCCACGUGCAAUUGUAUUUCAGAGUCCUCUGUUUGGUCAUGGACUCGAGCAAUCGCAGCAACAGUCUGAUACACUUGUUGCAUCGUUGGCCUUUGAUCAGGAAUGAAUUUCAUGCAGUUACUUGCAAGUUCAAGUAGUUGCAUUACCAUAUUAUCAAAUCCUUGGCCUAACAGUAGUUUAUCCACAUCAAGAGGACUGGCAAAAGAGCUGCUCGACAAAUUUAGACUCGAGCAACUCAAUAUGUAAGAUUUCAUCGAGCAAGAUACAUUGUGUGCUAAUGUUACUAUGCACGACAUGGAAAUUUCCACUAUCAUGAAGCCAAGCCAGGGCUUUCGCGACACUAACAACAAUUUUUACCCUUAGAGGGAAGUCCAAGAAUUGUGCCUUGUCGUCAGUUGAAUGCAGCCACUCAUGUAAGUUUCCAUUAGGCAUGUAUUUGUAAACCAGAAGUCGCUCGUCCCUCUCAUAACAAAAUCCGACUAGGGGCACUAAAUUCGGAUGCCUCAAGAUACCUAGAGUUGUGAUCUCCGAAACAAACUCUUCCUCCAAAUCUUCGGAACUUUGGAGCCUCUUUAUGGCAACAGUCCAUCCAUUUGGGACCAGUGCUUUGUACAAUUUCCCCAGCAUUCCGUUCCCGAUUUCAUUGUCUUGGCUGAAAUUCAAAGUCGCUUUUGAUAGUUCCAUAAAACUCAUUCUUGUAACAAUCUUCUCCAGCUUUAAAAUCUGAGGAAAAUAACAUAUCUACCAUUACCACAUUUUAUUUCUCCUCUACAAUAAAAAUUUUUGAUUAAGUAGUUCCCCUUUCGUCGCAAUUUAUCUAACAUAGUUUGACAGGGCACAAAUUUUCAGAAAAAAAAAGUAGUUUUUUAAACUUGUAGUUUAAACGUGCCAUAACACUUGUCUGGCUAUAAAAGCUUGUCACUAAGUGAAAUUGUUUCCAAAUUAGCAUAGUAUAUAAUCAUGCCCUUUAACUUGACUUGGCCUCAUCUGAAAUCUAUGCCCUCCGACUUUAAAUGUGCACAAAUAGAUACUUAAACUUGUAUAUAAUUGAACAGAUAGACAUAAUUACCUUUGGGUCACUGUUUACUUCAUUUCCAUCAAUCACCAUUACCUUUGUUCUCUUGUUGAUCAAGAGAAACAUCUUCUUUACACCAAAAAAAAAAUAUACACCAAGUAAUGUAGAAAGCGACCAACCCGUCACAAAACCACAAGCAAACAGAAUAUGACGGCUUACUACGCGUUCUGUAACACAUAAUUCCAGAGGACUACCACAAAGUCCUGGAUUAUUUGCAUAACUUUCAGCUGGAAAAGCAGCAUUGACAAAAUUUGGCACUGGCCCUGUCAACAUAUUAUCUGCAACAUUAAACAUCCUGAGUCGCUGUAACCAGCAAAUUUCAGGUGGGAUCAGUCCUUCUAGUUUAUUGUUUUCUAAUUUGAGGGAAUUGAGAAAAGAGAAAUUUGAAAUGUCACUUGGGAUAGCGCCUGAGAAUAGGUUGCUCGAGAGAUCAAUGUCUACAGCAAAUGCGAUUAGUUUUGAUAUAUCGGAAGGGAUGGUUCCAUAUAGCUCGUUGUUUGAAAGAUUCAGAGAAGUUAAAGAAGUGCAAUUUUGUAUGCCUCGCGGAAACUCACCUAUUAGUCCCAU
rnacentral:lncRNA from 1 species